CCCCGUAGUAACUUGAUAUGGCAUCAUAUUAAGUUUAAAGUUUUCGGAUGGUACAGGAUGGCUAUGCGUCCUAUUAGUUAGAUGAUGAGGUAACGGCUCACCAUGGCAGCGAUAGGUAGGGGCCCUGAGAGGGGGAUCCCCCACACUGGUACUGAGACACGGACCAGACUCCUACGGGAGGCAGCAGUGAGGAAUAUUGGACAAUGGGCUAAAGCCUGAUCCAGCCAUGCCGCGUGCAGGAAGACGGCCCUAUGGGUUGUAAACUGCUUUUAUACGGGAAGAAUAAGGGACACGUGUGUCCUGGUGACGGUACCGUAAGAAUAAGGACCGGCUAACUCCGUGCCAGCAGCCGCGGUAAUACGGAGGGUCCGAGCGUUAUCCGGAAUUAUUGGGUUUAAAGGGUCCGCAGGCGGGCAAUUAAGUCAGGGGUGAAAUGGUGCGGCUCAACCGUAGCACUGCCCUUGAUACUGGUUGUCUUGAGUCAUAGUGAAGUGGCCGGAAUAUGUAGAGUAGCGGUGAAAUGCAUAGAUAUUACAUAGAACACCGAUUGCGAAGGCAGGUCACUAACUAUCGACUGACGCUGAUGGACGAAAGCGUGGGGAGCGAACGGGAUUAGAUACCCCGGUAGUCCACGCCGUAAACGAUGGAUACUAGCUGUCCGGCACCUUGAGUGCUGGGCGGCCAAGCGAAAGUGAUAAGUAUCCCACCUGGGGAGUACGUUCGCAAGAAUGAAACUCAAAGGAAUUGACGGGGGCCCGCACAAGCGGUGGAGCAUGUGGUUUAAUUCGAUGAUACGCGAG
rnacentral:rRNA from 1 species